rnacentral:rRNA from 1 species
CCCAAGGGUAUGGCUGUUCGCCAUUUAAAGUGGUACGCGAGCUGGGUUUAGAACGUCGUGAGACAGUUCGGUCCCUAUCUGCCGUGGGCGCUGGAGAAUUGAGGGGGGCUGCUCCUAGUACGAGAGGACCGGAGUGGACGCAUCACUGGUGUUCGGGUUGUCAUGCCAAUGGCACUGCCCGGUAGCUAAAUGCGGAAGAGAUAAGUGCUGAAAGCAUCUAAGCACGAAACUUGCCCCGAGAUGAGUUCUCCCUGACUCCUUGAGAGUCCUGAAGGAACGUUGAAGACGACGACGUUGAUAGGCCGGGUGUGUAAGCGCAGCGAUGCGUUGAGCUAACCGGUACUAAUGAACCGUGAGGCUUAACCUUACAACGCCGAAG